rnacentral:rRNA from 1 species
UACGUAGGGUGCAAGCGUUGUCCGGAAUUAUUGGGCGUAAAGAGCUCGUAGGCGGUCUGUCGCGUCGGCUGUGAAAACUCGGGGCUCAACCCCGAGCCUGCAGUCGAUACGGGCAGACUAGAGUGCGGUAGGGGAGACUGGAAUUCCGUGGUGUAGCGGUGAAAUGCGCAGAUAUCAGGAGGAACACCGGUGGCGAAGGCGGGUCUCUGGGCCGUAACUGACGCUGAGGAGCGAAAGCGUGGGGAGCAAACAGG